rnacentral:rRNA from 1 species
UACGGGGGGGGCAAGCGUUGUUCGGAAUUACUGGGCGUAAAGGGCUCGUAGGCGGCCAACUAAGUCAGACGUGAAAUCCCUCGGCUUAACCGGGGAACUGCGUCUGAUACUGGAUGGCUUGAAUCCGGGAGAGGGAUGCGGAAUUCCAGGUGUAGCGGUGAAAUGCGUAGAUAUCUGGAGGAACACCGGCGGCGAAGGCGGCAUCCUGGACCGGCAUUGACGCUGAGGAGCGAAAGCCAGGGGAGCAAACGGG